AUGGGCACGAUCACGACACACUGCGUGACUGUUUCAAAAGUCAGUGUAAUUUCACCCCAUUUCUUACUGCAACGCCAACAUUUCAUGCAACCCUAUUAACUUGACGUCUAAGGAACUGUUUCUCUCUAAGAAUCUCAGCCUCUCACCGAUUGAUAAGAAAUCACAUAAAUCAUUGUCAACAACCCAGCGCUUGCGCGGGGCUCCGCACCUAGUAUCAAUAAAACCGACUGUCAUUUUAAAAGCUGAGUCUUCAAGAGAUCUACCGACUACCACAUUCACAGACCCUCCUCCGCUCCGCCCCUC
rnacentral:lncRNA from 1 species